rnacentral:lncRNA from 1 species
UGCCGUGAGGACUAGAAACCUGGAAACCUACGUUUCCCAGCUACUCCAUCUCCCCACACCGCAGGCUUUCUGUUAUGUUCUGAUGAUGAACUACUGCAGGAACAUAUCAGGAAAGCCAAGAGAAUCCACAGACCCUUUGAAGGAACUGUAUCACCCCUGCAGACUCCCUGAGAUGCCAAAAACUGUGAAUCUGCUUGCUUUCUCAACUGGGAGUCUCAUGGUCUGGGCUUAACUCCCACUUAUAAGUGAAAAUACGUAAUGGUCUCCAACUCCAUCUAGGUGUCUGUGAAUGCCAUUAUUUCAUUCCUUUUUAUAGGUUCCCCAGUGAGGAUUGUCAGGCCUCUGAGCCCAAGCUAAACCAUCAUAUCCCCUGUGACCUGCACGUAUACAUCCAGAUGGCCUGAAGCAACUGAAGAUCCACAGAAGAAGUGAAAAUAGCCAGUUCCUGCCUUAACUGAUGACAUUCCACCAUUGUAAUUUGUUCCUGCCCCACCCUAACUGAUCAAUUGACUUUGUGACAAUACACCCUCCCUACCCUUGCGAUAAUGUAAUUUGUGAUAUUCCCUUACCCUUGUGAAGGUACUUUGUACUAUACACCCUCCCCACCCUUGAGAAGGUACUUUGUAAUAUUCUCCCCUGCCCUUAAGAAUGUACUUCGUAAGAUCCACCCCCUGCCCACAAAAAAUCGCUCCUAACUCCACCGCCUAUCCCAAACCUGUAAGAACUAAUGAUAAUCCCACC